rnacentral:rRNA from 1 species
AGUGGGGAAUAUUGGGCAAUGGGCGCAAGCCUGACCCAGCGACGCCGCGUGCGGGAAGACGGCCUUAGGGUUGUAAACCGCUGUUGUACGGGAAGAAGGAAUUGACGGUACCGUACGAGUAAGGUCCGGCUAACUACGUGCCAGCAGCCGCGGUAAUACGUAGGGACCGAGCGUUAUCCGGAAUUACUGGGCGUAAAGGGCACGCAGGCGGUCAUGCAAGUCAGCUGUUAAAUGUGGGGGCUUAACCCUUACGAGCGGUUGAAACUGUGUGACUUGAGUACUGGAGAGGUAAGCGGAAUUCCCGGUGUAGCGGUGAAAUGCGUAGAUAUCGGGAAGAACACCAGUGGCGAAGGCGGCUUACUGGCCAGUAACUGACGCUGAGGCGCGAAAGCCAGGGUAGCGAACCGGAUUAGAUACCCGGGUAGUCCUGGCCGUAAACGCCGAAUGCUAGGUGUGGGUGGGUAGAACCAUCCGUGCCGGAGUUAACGCGAUAAGCAUUCCGCCUGGGGAUUACGACCGCAAGGUUG